rnacentral:lncRNA from 1 species
CAGAGAUCAUAGUGCAAACCUAGGAAAUGUGGAAGUAUCAUGGGAGGGGGGAGUGUUGAACUUCAGUAACUCACAGACAAGUACUGCCUCAUUGUCACUGUGUUUGAAAUGGAUGUAAACACCGCACAAAGAGUUCAUAUUCUCCUCCUGAUGAUCUUUUCUGCAUCAACAGAAGAUCCAGUUGUGAGGAUCUCUGUGCCGGAGGGGCAUUACAUAAUCAUACCCUGCAGCAGCCCACAGUGGAGGAAAUCUGACCACAUGAUAUGGCGGUUCGGGGACAACCAAGUCAUUGGGAAGAGAUCCUGGGAUAUUGUCUUUGAUAUAAACCGAAGAAAAUAUGAUCUCCUACCCGAUGGGUCCCUCCUGGUGAAGGUCCUGAGGCCUGAGAACUCUGGGGAGUAUUACUGUAAUGACUACAAGGCGGCGGAUCUGGAGGUCCUGACAGGUCAGGACUACAGUGUUUCAGCAGGGGGAACUAUCCUCCUUCCCUGCAAAAUCUCUGACAGGCUAAAGCAAAAGUGGAUGUUCAAGAAAAACAGACAGUCCAGGCGUAGGGUCAUCUUACUGAAAUACAAGAACGGAACGGUGACCAAAGAGAUUGAUGAUCCGCAAAACCGGUUCACGACCACGGAUUUUGAGCUCAGGAUACUUAAUCUCCAGCCCGCGGAUGGUGGGGAAUACUUCUGUAA